rnacentral:rRNA from 1 species
CUCCUACGGGAGGCAGCAGUGAGGGAUAUUGGGCAAUGGGGGAAACCCUGACCCAGCGACGCCGCGUGAGGGAAGACGGUCUUCGGAUUGUAAACCUCUGUCUUUGGGGACGAAAAAGGACGGUACCCAAGGAGGAAGCUCCGGCUAACUACGUGCCAGCAGCCGCGGUAAUACGUAGGGAGCGCGCGUUGUCCGGAAUUACUGGGUGUAACGGGAGCGUAUGCGGGUUUGCAAGUUGGAUGUGAAAACUUCGGGCUCAACCCGGA